rnacentral:tRNA from 1 species
UUAGAAAAAGUUAUUUUAUAAUAUUAACUUUGGGAGUUAAAGUGUUACUUUAGGGUAAUUUCUAAA